UACGAAGGGGGCUAGCGUUGUUCGGAAUCACUGGGCGUAAAGCGCACGUAGGCGGAUCUUUAAGUCAGGGGUGAAAUCCCAAGGCUCAACCUUGGAACUGCCUUUGAUACUGGGGAUCUUGAGUCCGGGAGAGGUGGGUGGAACUGCGAGUGUAGAGGUGAAAUUCGUAGAUAUUCGCAAGAACACCAGUGGCGAAGGCGGCUCACUGGCCCGAUACUGACGCUGAGGCACGAAAGCGUGGGGAGCAAACAGG
rnacentral:rRNA from 1 species